rnacentral:miRNA from 1 species
CUCCAGAUGUUGCUGAACUACAACUCCCAUGAUUCUCAGCAUAUCUAUUUCAUUCAUAUUAUCAUGGGAGUUGUAGUUCAGCAACAUCUGGAG